rnacentral:tRNA from 1 species
GACCGCGUAGCUCAGUUGGCAGAACAUUGGGUUAGUAUUCCAAAGGUUGUAGGUUCGAUUCCCACCGUGGUCA